rnacentral:rRNA from 1 species
GACGAACGCUGGCGGCGUGCUUAACACAUGCAAGUCGAGCGGUAAGGCCCUUUCGGGGGUACACGAGCGGCGAACGGGUGAGUAACACGUGGGCGACCUGCCCUCAGCUCUGGGAUAAGCCUGGGAAACCGGGUCUAAUACCGGAUAUGACUCCAUGACGCAUGUUGUGGGGUGGAAAGCCUUGUGCGGCUGAGGAUGGGCCCGCGGCCUAUCAGCUUGUUGGUGGGGUGAUGGCCUACCAAGGCGACGACGGGUAGCCGGCCUGAGAGGGCGACCGGCCACACUGGGACUGAGACACGGCCCAGACUCCUACGGGAGGCAGCAGUGGGGAAUCUUGCGGCAAAUGGGCGAAAGCCUGACGCAGCGACGCCGCGUGA